UACGUAGGGCGCAAGCGUUAUCCGGAAUUAUUGGGCGUAAAGAGCUCGUAGGCGGUUUGUCGCGUCUGCCGUGAAAGUCCGGGGCUCAACUCCGGAUCUGCGGUGGGUACGGGCAGACUAGAGUGAUGUAGGGGAGACUGGAAUUCCUGGGUGUAGCGGUGAAAAUGCGCAGAUAUCAGGAGGAACACCGAUGGCGAAGGCAGGUCUCUGGGCAUUAACUGACGCUGAGGAGCGAAAAGCAUGGGGGAGCGAACAGG
rnacentral:rRNA from 1 species